rnacentral:rRNA from 1 species
UACGAAGGGGGCUAGCGUUGUUCGGAAUCACUGGGCGUAAAGGGCGCGUAGGCGGCUUUAUAAGUCGGGGGUGAAAGCCUGUGGCUCAACCACAGAAUUGCCUUCGAUACUGUAGAGCUUGAGACCGGAAGAGGUAAGUGGAACUGCGAGUGUAGAGGUGAAAUUCGUAGAUAUCGGGAAGAACACCCGUGGCUAAGGCGGCUCUCUAGUACGGUACUGACGCUGAGACGCGAAAGCGUGGGGAGCGAACAGG